GAUGAAGAACGGAGCGAAAUGCGAUAAGUAAUGCGAAUUGCAGAAUUCAGUGAAUCAUCGAAUCUUUGAACGCACAUUGCGCCCGCCAGUAUUCUGGCGGGCAUGCCUGUCUGAGCGUCGUUUCGACCCUCGCGCCCGGCUUAUGUCGGGGGCGGUGUUGGGGAUCGGCCACACCCUUCAGUGGGAGGCCGGCCCCUAAAUUCAGUGGCGACCACGCUGUAGCCUCCCCUGCGUAGUACUAAAACCACCUCGCAGGCGGAGAGCGGUGCGGCCCGCCGUAAAACCCCCCAACUUUUACAAGGUCGACCUCAGAUCAGGUAGGAAUACCCACUGAACUUAAGCAUAUCAAUAAGCGGAGGA
rnacentral:misc_RNA from 1 species